GACAGAGGGUGCGAACGUUGUCCGGAUUUACUGGGCGUAAAGAGCGUGUAGGCGGCCAAACAGGUCCGUUGUGAAAACUGGAGGCUUAACCUCCAGACGUCGACGGAAACCGUGUGGCUAGAGUCCGGAAGAGGAGAGUGGAAUUCCUGGUGUAGCGGUGAAAUGCGCAGAUAUCAGGAAGAACACCAAUGGCGAAGGCAGCUCUCUGGGACGGUACUGACGCUGAGACGCGAAAGCGUGGGGAGCGAACAGG
rnacentral:rRNA from 1 species